ACACAUGCAAGUCGAACGGAGCUGAGAGGAGCUUGCUUUUCUUAGCUUAGUGGCGAACGGGUGAGUAACGCGUGAGUAACCUGCCCUGGAGUGGGGGACAACAGUUGGAAACGACUGCUAAUACCGCAUAAGCCCACGAUCUGGCAUCGGAUUGAGGGAAAAGGAUUUAUUCGCUUCAGGAUGGACUCGCGUCCAAUUAGCUAGUUGGUGAGGUAACGGCCCACCAAGGCGACGAUUGGUAGCCGGACUGAGAGGUUGAACGGCCACAUUGGGACUGAGACACGGCCCAGACUCCUACGGGAGGCAGCAGUGGGGGAUAUUGCACAAUGGGGGAAACCCUGAUGCAGCGACGCCGCGUGGAGGAAGAAGGUUUUCGGAUUGUAAACUCCUGUCGUUAGGGACGAUAAUGACGGUACCUAACAAGAAAGCACCGGCUAACUACGUGCCAGCAGCCGCGGUAAAACGUAGGGUGCAAGCGUUGUCCGGAAUUACUGGGUGUAAAGGGAGCGCAGGCGGACCGGCAAGUUGGAAGUGAAAACUAUGGGCUCAACCCAUAAAUUGCUUUCAAAACUGCUGGCCUUGAGUAGUGCAGAGGUAGGUGGAAUUCCCGGUGUAGCGGUGGAAUGCGUAGAUAUCGGGAGGAACACCAGUGGCGAAGGCGACCUACUGGGCACCAACUGACGCUGAGGCUCGAAAGCAUGGGUAGCAAACAGGAUUAGAUACCCUGGUAGUCCAUGCCGUAAACGAUGAUUACUAGGUGUUGGAGGAUUGACCCCUUCAGUGCCGCAGUUAACACAAUAAGUAAUCCACCUGGGGAGUACGACCGCA
rnacentral:rRNA from 1 species